rnacentral:lncRNA from 1 species
GGGCCGUCCGGCGCUGCUGCCGCCCGUCGCUCCUGCCCGCAGGUGCACGCCUGCCCGCGCGAUCUUCCGCCCGCCAGCCCGCGGGUCGGCAGGUCCGCGCCCGCCCGCAGCGCCGCCGCAGCCCCUGUGCGCGCCGGCCCCGCCCCGCCAGCCCCGCCCCCGCCUGCCCCGCCCCCAGGGCGGCCCCGCCCCGCCCCGCCCCCGCCGGGCUGCGGGCGGGGCGCACCCUGGGAAGUGUAGGCGCCGCGCCCCCGCCGCUCCGCCUUCGCGCCCCAGCCGCCCCAUGGACGGACUACAAGUCCCAGCAGGUUGUGCGGCCCGCGCAAGCGCGGGAGGGCCACGCCGCUCCGGCCCCCCGCAGCCGCUCGUGGGUCCCUGCGGAGCUGUCGCCGCGGCCUGGCUGGCGGCCUGGGGCUCUCGGGAGCUCUGUAGCGGAGAGGAAGGCGGCCGAGGGAAAAGCGAGCUUAGUGCAGCUCUUGUUGAGGCGUGGAGCUACAGGCGGCUGCAAGACCCUCUGGGCCAACCCUCUGUUUGCCCGGUUUGCAGAGGGAAACUGAGGCGGGGGCAAGGGCGCGCAGGAUUGCCUUUCCCCUCGUGAGCAGGGUAGGAUUCGGGCACGGGGCUCCUGACUCCAGGUCUAAGGCCGCACACCCCAGGCUCUGGCGCGCCGCCCCGGCUGGCGCCUUGGUCUGGCUCGACUGGCGCCCGGGGAGGGGGCGCGUCCCACGCCAGGGCAGUCCGGGCCCAGCCCCCGCUGUGACCGACUGCCCUCUGUGACGUCAGGUGCCCAGCACAGGGCGUGGGUCCGGGUACACGAGAGGGAAGGCCCCUGGGUGGGAGCAGGCUGAUCCCCCUGGGUGCCUGGUACUGACAAAUGCUGGGCUGUAGGGGUGCAGAGGGCCUGGCUGGAGGAGCAUUCAGGAGGCAGAAUCUCCCCGACCUGGUGCUGCAUAGGGAGGAGGGGCCGGGGCUAUUUGGAGAUGCUGUCAACAGGGACGAGGGCUGGCGGCAGAAAAUGCGGAGUCUGCAUGGAAUACUGAGAAAAAGGUGCUGUCGUCCAUGCGUCUCAGGACCAUCAGUCUCUUCACUGCACCGCCCCCUGGUGGUGGGGUACUCUCCCUGCGGGCACACACCAAGGAGCGCUAAAUCCUCCACCGCCCCAGCCUGGACGCCCAGCCCAGGACAGGCGGCCAGAGGAUGCCCUCAGCAAAGAGCACCCCAGCACCUGCCUUCAGCCAGCGCCAAGGGAGAGGAAGGAGGGGACGACUCCGUACGCCGUCUCUAACCAUCCCCCGCCCCUUCCUGGUAUUUGAGCAUCCGAGUUUCCGUUCAGAGGCCACCAUCCCUCCGCCAUGUGGCCCCAGUAAGAAGUCCCCCACGGACUUCCCAGUAAGCUGGCCCCAGCUCCGAAGGUUCUGACGGGUCUAAGGGUGACCCCAUCCCCCUGGAGACAAAGAUCAGCUACACCAGACAGCAGCCAGCAUUCCCUGGACACAGGACUUUCUCCAGGAACGGCAUACGACCCAGUUCAGAGCAAUGGGAUGUGAGUGGUGGCUUGCUGAGGAAUGCUGGAGAGGAUGCUCCUCCCGUUUAGGAGAGAAGAUCCCCUGUCUCCUGGUCUGGAUGUACACCACUGACAGCUGUUGCAAUUUUGUUUCCACACUGACAACCUGAGAAGGAAGCCAGCACCGAGAGGAAAUCGUGGAGAAGUGGGGCCAGAGCCCCUGGAUCGAGCCAAACCUGAGGCCCAUCUACCUCUGGACUUCCAGGUCCAUGAGCCAAAGAAGCCCUUAUUUGAGCCACUUGGACUUGAGUUUUUUGUUGUUUAUGACACCCUAAAACCCCCAAGCCGUCAGUGUUGGGAGGCCUCCUGAGGAAGAGGUCUCAGACCAAGGGUCCCAUUUUGCAUCAAGGAAUGUGUGACAUUGACCCCCAGACCAUGGGUUCUGCUUGUCCUGCCACAAACCACAUCUCUGGGAAGCUGCCAGCUGACAGAAUGCCGCCCCCCCCCCCCCCCCCAAGCCUCAGCACAGGGACUGUCCACUGCGGGUCUGGGCUGUUUUCCAGGAUGCAGCAUGUGCACUGAACCAACGGGCAGUGCGCCGAGUCCAGAACAAGGGGUCAAAGCGCCAUAGAUCUCCGGGGGAGCAAGCCCCAGGAGUCUGCAGGGGUGGCCCACUCGAUAAUGCCACCGUCGUCGCUGCCCUCCGCCUGCGGCCCUCUCCUCUGCCCCACUCCUGUCCCUGGGGUCACUUUCACAGUCGACUUCCUCCUCAAAGCCCUGUCUGCCUUUCCGGAGUGAGUGGGGCUGGGGAGGGAGACCGGGCCACGACAGGGAGGGUCAGGGAGCCAGCAGAAGGAGAGGGGGCUGCCAAGGCUGGUGGGGCCCGUCCUGGAGGAGCCGUGAAUGCCAGGCACAGAUCCGGCAGCUGGGCUUCUUGGAAUGCUAGCCAAGCAAGAGGCUGAGUCUCAGGCCUGAGCCAUUCGAGGAACUGCAGCUGUGGACUGGACCUGAGAGAGACAGAGACGACAGAGACCCCGGCCAUCACACAGGCACAGGGAGAGAGAGAGGGAGGGAGGGAGAGAGGUGGAGGAGAGGAGAUACAGAAACAGAGAGAGAGAGACAGAGACGACAGAGACCCCGGCCAUCACACAGGCACAGGGAGAGAGAGAGAGAGGGAGGGAGAGAGGUGGAGGAGAGGAGAUACAGAAACAGAGAGAGAGAGACAGAGACGACAGAGACCCCGGCCAUCACACAGGCACAGGGAGAGAGAGAGGGAGGGAGGGAGAGAGGUGGGGGAGAGGAGAUACAGAAACAGAGAGAGAGAGACAGAGACGACAGAGACCCCGGCCAUCACACAGGCACAGGGAGAGAGAGAGGGAGGGAGGGAGAGAGGUGGGGGAGGGGAGAUACAGAAACAGAGAGAGAGACGGAGAGACCAGAGACUUAGAGAGAUCACGGAGGGCGAGCUGGGGUGGGAGGGAGAACAGAGGCGCUGGAAGGACGUGCAAGAUGAACCCAGCAGCCUUUCUCAAGCCGAGUUCUGAACUACAGGACCCAGAAAAGGAUCGAGGGGCUGUUUUCUGGGUUCUCUUGGGGAUGCUCAGGGCUGGAACAUGCUAAGUGCCCGGGAUGGGGGGAGGGGCAGUUAAUUCGUUAGAACUGGGGAUGCAUGAGGGCAUGAGGGUUCCAUUUCUCAUGGAAUCCUUGAUGAGAAAGGCUGAAGGAAGAGAAAGGCAGGAGACGUUCCGUGGACACUAGAAUCCUGCACCUUGAUUAUUGUUUUUUCCUUUUUUUCCAGGCCUGUCCCAGGCUGUGGUGAAGGACAAAUGGGAGGGUUUGGGAAUCUCGCUGAUAAUGAGUAAUCCGACCUUCUCUCCACACAGCAGGCUAUCUGCUUUCCUGCUCUCAGCUAGGGGGAGGGAGAGAGGGAGAGACAGGUGGAGAGACAGACGGACGCUAGCGAGCCCUCAGCCUGGGCCUUCCAAUCAAGGACAGUCCCGCAUGUUGGUUUUCCAGAAGACCAGCUGCAAAGGAAACCUGGUGCUGCCAUUCCCUCUCCGGGCCUCACUCUUCUCAUCCUUAAAAUGGGGACGUGGGGACCGCCCCAUGGCCGAGUGGUUAAGUUUGCACGCUCCACUUGGGUGGCCCAGGGUUUUGCUGGUUCAGAUCCUGGGUGCAAACAUGGCACUGCUCAUCAAGCCAUGCUGAGGCGGUGGCCCACAUGCCACAACUAGAAGGACCCACAACUAAAACAUACAGCUACGUACUGGGGGGCUUUGGGGAGAAGAAGAAAAUUUAAAAAAAAAAAGAAGAUUGGCAACAGACAUUGGCUCAGGUGCCAAUCUUUAAAGAAAAAAUGGGGCUACCCAUGUGCACCCCGCAGCUGGCUGGGACCAUCUGAUGAGGCGACACAGGUGCUCCGUAACGGGGGUGAGAGGCCCCGUCAGAGCCCUCGGCUCUAUCAGGCUUCAACAAUUCUGGCCCGCGUGGACCUCCCGCCACGCACCACCCUGCUGGCAGAACCGCCACCUCUGCUGGGUGAGGCGCCCCUGCCCACUCCCGUGCCUGGGAGAUGAAGGAGCGGGCAGAUCUCCCCAGAGCGGUGCGAGUGUUAGGGUCUGACCCUGACGAGGCUACUGGGUGGUGCUGGUCAUUGAAAAUCCAGAGCCAGUGGUGGUUAAAGCAGGCUGUAUUCGGGACUGUUGUGACAGGGAGAGACGUGAGGGCAGAACCGGGCUCGGUUCCGAAUACAGCACGGACGAGCGGGGUUUACAGCCAAGGAGCAGGUGGGAUCGUGGGUGGAAAUUACGGGGAGAAAUCAUCAGGGGUGACGGGCUGUGAGUAAACCAGCUGACGGGCUCCCUGCUGAGCCGCGGGCGACGGGACAUCCGGGGUGGGGAGGCCACGGUCUGGUCAAGGAGGGUCUUGUUCAUGCACCCGCGGGUUGGAGCCACACAGCACCAAAGGCUCCGGAAGCUGAACUGACGGAGGAACCAAGACGCGAGGCCCCAGCCCAGAGGACGCCCCGCCUCCUGGGGAAGACCCGACGUCGCGGCUCAGACCUUGCUGAAGAGAGGUGGGAUUGUUCUGUAUUUUCGGGGGGCGAUUACACGAAUCCACAUGAGGGGUAAAACUUGCACAACUGUACAUACACCAAAAUAAAGUAAACUUUACGGUACGUAAAAUUUUUAGA